rnacentral:misc_RNA from 1 species
GCCGGUUCUCAAGUUAAACUCUUCACUCUUAUUCUUCUUUUGGCUUCCACAAGUUUUAGUCCAAGAUCGAUGAGGACAAAUGCAAACAGACAUGCAGCAUAUUCUUUAAGCUUGAAGAUAACCCAUUUUCCUGCCCGACUAAGCUCACCUCGAUCACUUGGUGCAGCAAAAGAUGGCAGUGGCUUUGGAUUUUAUUUCCAUGUAUCAGGUGAUGUUUGUUUUUGAAAGAUGAGUUUUGAUGAGAAAAUUGGUUUUGAUAAGGAAGCCAUGAUCCAAAAGUAGAGAAUUUUUCUUAGAAAAUUUGAGAGAAGUGACGUUUAUCAUGAUUUUUCAUGUGAUUUAAUUUUAAUUUUUUGAAUUGAUGCCAAAUCUUUUUUUUUUUAUUUCUACACAUUUUGACAACCAAAUGCCACGUAAGCAUUUAGCCUGGGAACCAGCAAUUAGAAGUUAUAGGUACUUUCAUGUUACUUCAAUUAAAGUUGUGGUACUUUUCUGUUACAAAUUAAAGUUGAAAUACUUUUAUAUUACAUAACUUAAGUUCAGGUAUAAUGGGUUUAAUUUAAACUUAAUAUGUUUACCAUAAAUGUUCUUAAACCUUACUAGAGGGAUGCUAGGAUGCUUCUUCGGACAUUACAGUUUAAGAGUCCUUUAGAGGUU